UACAGAGGUCUCGAGCGUUUGUUCGGAUUCAUUGGGCGUAAAGGGCGCGUAGGCGGCGCGGUAAGUCGGGUGUGAAAUCUCGGAGCUUAACUCCGAAACUGCAUUCGAUACUGCCGUGCUUGAGGACUUGGAGAGGAGACUGGAAUUUACGGUGUAGCGGUGAAAUGCGUAGAUAAUCGUGAAGGAAGACCAGUGGCGAAGGCGGGUCUCUGGACAGUUCCUGACGCUGAGGCACGAAGGCCAGGGGAGCAAACGGG
rnacentral:rRNA from 1 species